UACGUAGGGGGCUAGCGUUGUCCGGAUUUACUGGGCGUAAAGCGCACGUAGGCGGAUCGUUAAGUCGGGGGUGAAAUCCUGGAGCUCAACUCCAGAACUGCCUUCGAUACUGGCGAUCUUGAGUCCGGAAGAGGAGAGUGGAAUUCCUGGUGUAGCGGUGAAAUGCGCAGAUAUCAGGAAGAACACCCGUGGCUAAGGCGGCUCUCUAGUACGGUACUGACGCUGAGACGCGAAAGCGUGGGGAGCGAACAGG
rnacentral:rRNA from 1 species